UGGGGAAUUUUGGACAAUGGGCGCAAGCCUGAUCCAGCCAUGCCGCGUGAGUGAAGAAGGCCUUCGGGUUGUAAAGCUCUUUCAGCCGGAAAGAAAACACACAAGUUAAUACCCUGUGUGGAUGACGGUACCGGAAGAAGAAGCACCGGCUAACUACGUGCCAGCAGCCGCGGUAAUACGUAGGGUGCGAGCGUUAAUCGGAAUUACUGGGCGUAAAGCGUGCGCAGGCGGUUUUGUAAGUCAGAUGUGAAAUCCCCGGGCUCAACCUGGGAACUGCGUUUGAAACUACAAGGCUAGAGUGUAGCAGAGGGGGGUGGAAUUCCACGUGUAGCAGUGAAAUGCGUAGAGAUGUGGAGGAACACCGAUGGCGAAGGCAGCCCCCUGGGUUAACACUGACGCUCAGGCACGAAAGCGUGGGGAGCAAACAGGAUUAGAUACCCUGGUAGUCCACGCCGUAAACGAUGGACACUAGUUGUUGGAAUAAUUCAGUGACUAAGCGAAAGUGAUAAGUGUCCCACCUGGGGAGUACGAUCGCAAGAUUG
rnacentral:rRNA from 1 species